rnacentral:rRNA from 1 species
AGCCUGAACGCUGGCGGCGUGGCUAAGACAUGCAAGUCGAACGGGUGUAGCAAUACACCAGUGGCGGACGGGUGAGUAAUAAAUCGCUAAUGUACCCCGGAGCCAGGGAUAGCCUUCCGAAAGGGAGGGUAAUACCUGAUGAGACCACGAACAGGCAUCUGUUUGUGCUCAAAGCCGUAAGGCACUCUGGGAGCAGGCGAUUACGUAUCAGCUUGUUGGUGAGGUAACGGCUCACCAAGGCGACGACGCGUAGCUGGUCUGAGAGGACGGCCAGCCACAUUGGGACUGAGACACUGCCCAGACUCCUACGGGGGGCUGCAGUAACGAAUCUUCCGCAAUGCACGAAAGUGUGACGGAGCGACGCCGCGUGUAGGACGAAGUCCUUCGGGAUGUAAACUACUGUCAGGGGUAAGAAAGUUCUGAUCUACCCCAGAGGAAGAGACGGCUAACUCUGCGCCAGCAGCCGCGGU